CCUGGCUCAGAUUGAACGCUGGCGGAAUGCUUUACACAUGCAAGUCGAACGGCAGCACGAGAGCUUGCUCUUGGUGGCGAGUGGCGAACGGGUGAGUAAUAUAUCGGAACGUAUCCAAUAAUGGGGGAUAACUAAUCGAAAGGUUAGCUAAUACCGCAUACGCCCUACGGGGGAAAGCAGGGGAUCUUCGGACCUUGCGUUAAUGGAGCGGCUGAUAUCUGAUUAGCUAGUAGGUGAGGUAAAGGCUCACCUAGGCUUCGAUCAGUAGCUGGUCUGAGAGGACGACCAGCCACACUGGAACUGAGACACGGUCCAGACUCCUACGGGAGGCAGCAGUGGGGAAUUUUGGACAAUGGGCGAAAGCCUGAUCCAGCCAUGCCGCGUGCAGGAUGAAGGCCUUCGGGUUGUAAACUGCUUUUGUACGGAACGAAAAGACUCUGGUUAAUACCUGGGGUCCAUGACGGUACCGUAAGAAUAAGCACCGGCUAACUACGUG
rnacentral:rRNA from 1 species